UGGGGAAUAUUGGACAAUGGGCGCAAGCCUGAUCCAGCCAUGCCGCGUGUGUGAAGAAGGCCUUAUGGUUGUAAAGCACUUUAAGCGAGGAGGAGGCUACUUUAGUUAAUACCUAGAGAUAGUGGACGUUACUCGCAGAAUAAGCACCGGCUAACUCUGUGCCAGCAGCCGCGGUAAUACAGAGGGUGCAAGCAUUAAUCGGAUUUACUGGGCGUAAAGCGCGCGUAGGCGGCUAAUUAAGUCAAAUGUGAAAUCCCCGAGCUUAACUUGGGAAUUGCAUUCGAUACUGGUUAGCUAGAGUGUGGGAGAGGAUGGUAGAAUUCCAGGUGUAGCGGUGAAAUGCGUAGAGAUCUGGAGGAAUACCGAUGGCGAAGGCAGCCAUCUGGCCUAACACUGACGCUGAGGUACGAAAGCAUGGGGAGCAAACAGG
rnacentral:rRNA from 1 species